AGGGGGUUAGUCCAACAGAAGACCUCUGAUUUCGGCUCAGAAAAUCGUGGUUUAAAUCCACGACCCCCUUAUGAC
rnacentral:tRNA from 2 species